rnacentral:rRNA from 1 species
CCUACGGGGGGCAGCAGUGAGGAAUAUUGGUCAAUGGGCGGGAGCCUGAACCAACCAAGUCGCGUGAGGGAAGACGGUCCUAUGGAUUGUAAACCUCUUUAGGCGGGGAGCAAUGCCGGGCACGCGUGCCCGGAGGGAGAGUACCCGCAGAAUAAGCAUCGGCUAACUCAGUGCCAGCAGCCGCGGUAAUACGGAGGAUGCGAGCGUUAUCCGGAUUUUUUGGGUUUACAGGGUGCGUAGGCGGAUUUUUAAGUAAUCGGUAAAAUGUCCGGGCUCAACCUGGGCCGGCCGUUGAAACUGGGGAUAUUGAGUGUGCGAGAGGUAUGCGGAAUUCGUGGUGUAGCGGUGAAAUGCAUAGAUAUCACGCAGAACUCCGAUUGCGAAGGCAGCAGACCGGCGCCCGACUGACGCUGAGGCACGAAAGCGUGGGGAUCGAACAGGAUUAGAUACCCUGGUAGUC